ensembl:snRNA U6 U6 spliceosomal RNA
AUGCUUACUUCAACAGUACAUUUGCUGAAAUGGAAAUGAUAAAGAGAAAAUUAGUAUGGCCUUUGUGCAAGUAUGACAUGCGAAUUUGUGAAUAAAUUCAUAUUUUA